rnacentral:rRNA from 1 species
GGAUAACGUUUGGAAACGAACGCUAAUACCGCAUAAAAUAUCGGAGUCGCAUGGCACUGAUAUCAAAGGAGCAAUCCGCUGAAAGAUGGGCUCGCGUCCGAUUAGGCAGUUGGCGGGGUAACGGCCCACCAAACCGACAAUCGGUAGCCGGACUGAGAGGUUGAACGGCCACAUUGGGACUGAGACACGGCCCAGACUCCUACGGGAGGCAGCAGUGGGGGAUAUUGCACAAUGGGGGAAACCCUGAUGCAGCGAUGCCGCGUGAAUGAAGACGGCCUUCGGGUUGUAAAGUUCUGUCGCAGGGGACGAAAAUGACGGUACCCUGCAAGAAAGCUCCGGCUAACUACGUGCCAGCAGCCGCGGUAAUACGUAGGGAGCAAGCGUUGUCCGGAAUUACUGGGUGUAAAGGGAGCGUAGGCGGGAGGAUAAGUUGAAUGUGAAAUCUAUGGGCUCAACCCAUAGCUGCGUUCAAAACUGUUCUUCUUGAGUGAAGUAGAGGCAGGCGGAAUUCCUAGUGUAGCGGUGAAAUGCGUAGAUAUUAGGAGGAACACCAGUGGCGAAGGCGGCCUGCUGGGCUUUUACUGACGCUGAGGCUCGAAAGCGUGGGUAGCAAACAGGAUUAGAUACCCUGGUAGUCCACGCGGUAAACGAUGAUUACUAGGUGUGGGUGGACUGACCCCAUCCGUGCCGGAG